GAUGAAGAACGCAGCGAAAUGCGAUACUUGGUGUGAAUUGCAGAAUCCCGUGAACCAUCGAGUCUUUGAACGCAAGUUGCGCCUCAAGCCAUUAGGUUGAGGGCACGUCUGCCUGGGCGUCACAUAUCGUUGCCUGAUGCCAGUUUCCUCGUGAUGGGUGACUGUGCAGGGCGAAUGAUGGCUUCCCGUGAGCAUUGUUGCCUCAUGGUUGGUUGAAAAUUGAGUCCUUGGUAGGGAGCGCCGUGAUAGAUGGUGGUUGAGUGACGAACGAGACCCAAUCAUGUGAGACCCCUACCGAAUUUGGCCUUCAUGACCCAGAUGCGUCUUUGGAACGCUCAUGACGAGACCUCAGGUCAGGCGGGGCUACCCGCUGAGUUUAAGCAUAUCAAUAAGCGGAGGA
rnacentral:misc_RNA from 1 species